rnacentral:rRNA from 1 species
CGAGCGGUAGAGAUUCUUCGGAAUCUUGAGAGCGGCGUACGGGUGCGGAACACGUGUGCAACCUGCCUUUAUCAGGGAGAUAGCCUUUCGAAAGGAAGAUUAAUACCCCAUAAUAUAUUAAGUGGCAUCACUUGAUAUUGAAAACUACGGUGGAUAGAGAUGGGCACGCGCAAGAUUAGAUAGUUGGUGAGGUAACGGCUCACCAAGUCUACGAUCUUUAGGGGGCCUGAGAGGGUGAUCCCCCACACUGGUACUGAGACACGGACCAGACUCCUACGGGAGGCAGCAGUGAGGAAUAUUGGACAAUGGGUGAAAGCCUGAUCCAGCCAUCCCGCGUGAAGGACGACGGCCCUAUGGGUUGUAAACUUCUUUUGUAUAGGGAUAAACCUAGAUACGUGUAUCUAGCUGAAGGUACUAUACGAAUAAGCACCGGCUAACUCCGUGCCAGCAGCCGCGGUAAUACGGAGGGUGCAAGCGUUAUCCGGAUUUAUUGGGUUUAAAGGGUCCGUAGGCGGAUCUGUAAGUCAGUGGUGAAAUCUCACAGCUUAACUGUGAAACUGCCAUUGAUACUGCAGGUCUUGAGUGUUGUUGAAGUAGCUGGAAUAAGUAGUGUAGCGGUGAAAUGCAUAGAUAUUACUUAGAACACCAAUUGCGAAGGCAGGUUACUAAGCAACAACUGACGCUGAUGGACGAAAGCGUGGGGAGCGAACAGGAUUAGAUACCCUGGUAGUCCACGCCGUAACGAUGCUAACCUCGUUUUUGGAUUUUCGGAUUCAGAGACUAAGCGAAAGUGAUAAGUUAGCCACCUGGGGAGUACGUUCGCAAGAAUGAAACUCAAAGGAAUUGACGGGGGCCCGCACAAGCGGUGGAUUAUGUGGUUUAAUUCGAUGAUACGCGAGGAACCUUACCAAGGCUUAAAUGGGAAAUGACAGGUUUAGAAAUAGACUUUUCUUCGGACAUUUUUCAAGGUGCUGCAUGGCUGUUCCCAGCUCGUGCCGUGAGGUGUUAGGUUAAGUCCUGCAACGAGCGCAACCCCUGUCACUAGUUGCCAUCAUUAAGUUGGGGACUCUAGUGAGACUGCCUACGCAAGUAGAGAGGAAGGUGGGGAUGACGUCAAAUCAUCACGGCCCUUACGCCUUGGGCCACACACGUAAUACAAUGGCCAGUACAGAGGGCAGCUACACAGCGAUGUGAUGCAAAUCUCGAAAGCUGGUCUCAGUUCGGAUUGGAGUCUGCAACUCGACUCUAUGAAGCUGGAAUCGCUAGUAAUCGCGCAUCAGCCAUGGCGCGGUGAAUACGUUCCCGGGCCUUGUACACACCGCCCGUCAAGCCCAUGGAAGUCUGGGGUACCUGAAGUCGG